AUAUCAGUCAUGCAUAGCAUAUCAAUAAGCGGAGGAAAAGAAACUAACAAGGAUUCCCUUAGUAACGGCGAGUGAAGCGGGAAGAGCUCAAAUUUGAAAUCUUCAAGGUUUUACCUUGACGAAUUGUAGUUUAAAGAAGUGUUUUCUGUUGAAGUUUUGGUAAAAGUUCUUUGGAAUAGGACAUCAUAGAGGGUGAGAAUCCCGUAUUUGACCAUUACUUUCAGCUUUGUGAUACACUUUCAAAGAGUCGGAUUGUUUGGGAAUGCAGUCCCAAAAUGGGUGGUAAAUUUCAUCUAAAGCUAAAUAUUGGCGAGAGACCGAUAGCGAACAAGUACCGUGAGGGAGAGAUGAAAAGAACUUUGAAAAGAGAGUUAAACAGUACGUGAAAUUGUCAAAAGGGAAGCGUUUGACACCAGUGUUGUUUUCUCGAAAAUCAAUUAAAAAGAGUUGGAUUUUGUGUUGUAUUGACUUUAUCAGGCUUUCUUCACUCUUUUCCAGCUUUUUUUAAUGCACUUUUCGUUUAACAAGUCAACAUCAGUUUCUUUUGUUGUAAAAAGGUCAUUGGAAGGUGGCUUUCUCUUCGGAGAAAGUGUUUAUAGCCUUUGACUCAUGCAAUCGGAGAGACUGAGGUCUGCAGCGUAGAUCCUUCGGGGUUAGAUACAUUUGUGCUAAGUUAUAGCUUUUCAUAGACAACUUGUUGACUAUGUUUAGUCUUGUAGCUUACUCGCUUAUGCUAUUUUACCUACGCUUAGGAUGUUGAACUCUAUCACACACAG
rnacentral:rRNA from 1 species